rnacentral:rRNA from 1 species
GUGAGGAAUAUUGGUCAAUGGCCGAGAGGCUGAACCAGCCAUGCCGCGUGCGGGAAGACGGCCCUAUGGGUUGUAAACCGCUUUUUUGUGGGAGCAAUAAGUUGCACGUGUGCAAUGAUGAGAGUACCAUGAGAAUAAGCAUCGGCUAACUCCGUGCCAGCAGCCGCGGUAAUACGGAGGAUGCGAGCGUUAUCCGGAUUUAUUGGGUUUAAAGGGUGCGUAGGCGGGUGUUUAAGCGUGAGGUGAAAUGCCGGGGCUCAACCUCGGAACUGCCUCGCGAACUGGGCGCCUUGAAUGCUCCUGCCGUGGGAGGAAUGUGUGGUGUAGCGGUGAAAUGCAUAGAGAUCACACAGAACACCGAUUGCGAAGGCAUCUCACGAAGGGGUGAUUGACGCUGAGGCACGAAAGCGUGGGGAUCAAACAGG